GGGGGCGUGCCUAAUACAUGCAAGUAGAACGCUGAAGAGAGGAGCUUGCUCUUCUUGGAUGAGUUGCGAACGGGUGAGUAACGCGUAGGUAACCUGCCUUGUAGCGGGGGAUAACUAUUGGAAACGAUAGCUAAUACCGCAUAACAAUGGAUGACACAUGUCAUUUAUUUGAAAGGGGCAAUUGCUCCACUACAAGAUGGACCUGCGUUGUAUUAGCUAGUAGGUGAGGUAAUGGCUCACCUAGGCGACGAUACAUAGCCGACCUGAGAGGGUGAUCGGCCACACCGGGACUGAGGCACGGCCCAGACUCCUACGGGAGGCAGCAGUAGGGAAUCUUCGGCAAUGGGGGCAACCCUGACCGAGCAACGCCGCGUGAGUGAAGAAGGUUUUCGGAUCGUAAAGCUCUGUUGUAAGUCAAGAACGGGUGUGAGAGUGGAAAGUUCACACUGUGACGGUAGCUUACCAGAAAGGGACGGCUAACUACGUGCCAGCAGCCGCGGUAAUACGUAGGUCCCGAGCGUUGUCCGGAUUUAUUGGGCGUAAAGCGAGCGCAGGCGGUUUGAUAAGUCUGAAGUUAAAGGCUGUGGCUCAACCAUAGUUCGCUUUGGAAACUGUCAAACUUGAGUGCAGAAGGGGAGAGUGGAAUUCCAUGUGUAGCGGUGAAAUGCGUAGAUAUAUGGAGGAACACCGGUGGCGAAAGCGGCUCUCUGGUCUGUAACUGACGCUGAGGCUCGAAAGCGUGGGGAGCGAACAGGAUUAGAUACCCUGGUAGUCCACGCCGUAAACGAUGAGUGCAAGGUGUUGGAUCCUUUCCGGGGAUUCAGUGCCGCAGCUAAACGCAAUUAAGCACUCCGCCUGGGGAGUACGGCCGCAAGGUUGAAACUCAAAGGAAUUGACGGGGGGCCCGCACAAGCGAGUGGAGCAUGUGGUUUAAUUCGAAGCAACGCGAAGAACCUUUCCAGGUCUUGACAUCCCGAUGCUAUUUUCUAGAGAUAGAAAGUUACUUCGGUACAUCGGUGACAGGUGGUGCAUGGUUGUCGUCAGCUCGUGUCGU
rnacentral:rRNA from 1 species